rnacentral:rRNA from 1 species
GACGAACGCUGGCGGCGUGCUUAACACAUGCAAGUCGAACGGAAAGGCCCUGCUUUUGUGGGGUGCUCGAGUGGCGAACGGGUGAGUAACACGUGAGUAACCUGCCCUUGACUUUGGGAUAACUUCAGGAAACUGGGGCUAAUACCGGAUAGGAGCUCCUGCUGCAUGGUGGGGGUUGGAAAGUUUCGGCGGUUGGGGAUGGACUCGCGGCUUAUCAGCUUGUUGGUGGGGUAGUGGCUUACCAAGGCUUUGACGGGUAGCCGGCCUGAGAGGGUGACCGGCCACAUUGGGACUGAGAUACGGACCAGACUCCUACGGGAGGCAGCAGUGGGGAAUAUGGCACAAUGGGCGGAAGCCUGAUGCAGCAACGCCGCGUGCGGGAUGACGGCCUUCGGGUUGUGAACCGCUUUCGCCUGUGACGAAGCGUGAGUGACGGUAAUGGGUAAAGAAGCACCGGCUAACUACGUG